AAACAAAUGAAGACGCAAAACAAAGGCGGAAGAUUUCAACUGGGCAGAACAGCUGCAGUUUCUGACUUUUUUAUUUAUCUUGUAGGAGAGCGAAUGUUAUGUUCUUUCUUUGAUGCCCGCUUUUAUGUGGAUUUUUUUUCCCUACUUUCGACUGGAGCUGGCAGCUUUUUCCUGUUGUGGAGGAUUUCUACUUGAGUCUGUUCAAUGAUGGCAGCUGGCUGGGCGAGAGAAGGAAGCGCAGAAAGAGAGAGAGGCUAUGUCUCAAGGCAUGUGUGUGGGUUCCAGUCAGUCUCUUCCAGUGCCCUGUGAUGCCACCACUCAACCCAGCCAAGACCAGAUCAGAGCAUCCAGGCUGUAUCCAGGGAGACGAGAAGCAGACAGUGUUGUAUAAACUGCUGAGAAAGCAAAAGACAAAGAAAUUUCUGCGGCAAUCUUGAAGAAAAGAAGCCAGUGAGGACAGCGCUGGAAAACGGAACCGUCCAUCGCAGAGAGGACAUAUUUAAAAAAGAAAAUCUGAUUCUUCCUCAGGUCGUCAAGCCAGAAAAAUUGCAGAAAUUUUAUAUUUUUGUGACUUUCACCACACACCUAUGCUCAUUGUGAUCUGGAAGAUGUAAGUUUCAGCAUUUCUUAAAACUUUGACACUGCCAUGCUUAUGGUUAUGGACCUAUGGCAGUGCCAAGAACACUUAAUUGAACUCAAAAACAGUUGUAGUUACCUAUUUCAAUAUUGUUUGAAAUCGAUUCCGUUGCAACCAAUACCCGUUUGUGUGUUAAGGACAGAGGGACAAAGGAAACGUCAUUAUGUAAUUCAGCAACUAACCUCAUUGUGCUGAUGCGCGCGCACACACAUAUACACGGACGGGUUUAUGAAAUGUGUGCUGUUUGUCUUUGUGUAUAACUUUUUCUAUGCACUGUUUGCUACUCUCAAACUGUUUUUCAUCUCCGUAAUCUCAGCUCAUAACUUUUCUAAUUUGACUUAAAUAUUCUGUCUGUAUUUCUUUAAAUGUAGUCGUCGUUUACAAUUCGUCACAUAACAGCAUUUACACAAAAUCAGUUUUAUCUAUUUGUUAUUCAUGUGGUACUUAAAUUUUGUUUCAGAAUUUCACAAGUAUUAUGUGCCUUACACUGUACUUUUUUGAUCGCUUAUGAAUGUGUAAAAAGUAUACUUCAGAACUGUAAGUUUGUCAUAAUGACUUGAAAUCAGGGUCCUGUCAUAUGCAUUCUCAUGAAGUUUUCAGACUUUUUUUUGUUUUGAUAACAAUAACAGUUAAACAAUUGAAGCUGUUUGUAUUUUGGUCCUUACAACCAAAAUGCAUGAAUAUUUAGUUAUUAUUACUUAAAAUUUCAAAUGAUCACUCUAAGAUAUUAGAGAUUCACAGUUCUAGUACUAAAUGGAAAUUGACCUAAGGUUGGCACUCAAGGUGCAAGAAUACAGACACUUGUUGAACUACUUCCUGCCUACCAUUUUCAAAAGGUAAUGGUAUGUAUUACGUUUUUAACCCUUAUAUUAUGCUAGAAUGUACUUCUCUCAUCCAAAAACACACCUGGAGUGUUGCUUUGAUUUUUUUUCAUGCAUGUUUGAGAAAUCUUUGAAUCUCCCGUGGCAACCAUUCAGGGCAGGGGUGCCUAAACGCUUGCUCCUUCAAGGCGCCACCUAUUUUCACAAAGGUCUGCAGCCAAGCUUCUGGUUCACAUAGCACCUCAUGACCUGCCCCACAAACCUCCACCAGACUAGCAACAGCAGAAAUUAGCAAACACCUGGUGAAACUGGACAUCUGCUGAGCCUGUCAUACAAACCACUUCUCAGUCCAGCACUCCUAAGAAUGGUUGCAAACAACAUAAUGGAUGAACACUGUUGUGAUAGCAUUCUGAAGGCGGAGUUUCGGGAAGAGUAGGAGCUUCUUCAAGAGAGAGAGAGGUCUAUUUCAAGAUGUCAAACUGUGACGUCAAAUUUCUUUCAAGUUGUAUACAUUUUUAUAAUUGAAUGUAUCAUAGUAACUGGAUUGUACUAUAAAAUGGCAAGAAUCUUUAUGUUUAUCUUAGCUGAUAUACAGCCAGGUUCCACGAUUGUUCUUGUUUUAUUGUGUUCUGUUUUGAGUUAUUUUAGCAUUUAUGUUAUAUUUGAUAUUUUAUCUUUUUUUUUAUUGUUUUAAAGCUGAUUUAUGUUGUUAAAGCCCCAUCUGGGGACAUGCGUUACAAAUUAGCCAAGGAUAUAAAUGCAAUAGUGUCCAGUAUUUGUUUACAUGUAACACUUAUCCUCAUGCAAAUUUCAAUAAAAGAAAUAAUCAUGUCA